CAGUAGCCGCGGUAAUACGUAGGGUCCGAGCGUUGUCCGGAAUUACUGGGCGUAAAGUGUGCGUAGGCGGUUCGUUAAGUCUGUUGUGAAAGCCCCGGGCUCAACCUGGGAAUGGCAAUGGAUACUGGCGAGCUAGAGUGUGUCAGAGGAUGGUGGAAUUCCCGGUGUAGCGGUGAAAUGCGUAGAGAUCGGGAGGAACAUCAGUGGCGAAGGCGGCCAUCUGGGACAACACUGACGCUGAGGCACGAAAGCGUGGGGAGCAAACAGGAUUAGAUACCCGCGUAGUCCCUGUCUCUUAUAC
rnacentral:rRNA from 1 species